AAGAUUUCUCUGGGCAAUAACAAGCACUUUGAUUGCACUGAACUGGUGAUCGCGAGCUGCAACAACAUGUCCAAAAGAGACAACAAGGAGUAUGCAUCUGCGGAAUUUGUGUUCCAGACGGCUGCGACUAUAAAUUGGUGAAGAACAUCAGUGUUGGCUGUGAGUUCGGCUGUGCCAGCUCCUUAGCAACUUAUCGCAUUCGUCUCCCACCGAGGUGUGAAUGUUGGGUUCAUCUGGCAGGACCAGAAUCAGAGAAAGCACCGCCGGGUAUGGGUGUCAACGAGGCCUUUUUAGAGAUCUCGGAGGACAAGAAAAAUCAUGAUCGUGCGUACAUUUACAUCAAAGGAGAGUGUGCUCAAAACGGAUCUUGUAUAACACAUAUUCCAGAAUAUUUCAAAG
rnacentral:lncRNA from 1 species